ACGGCUAUAUCACGUUGAAACACCGGUUCUGAAACGAUCACCGAAGUUAAGCAAUAUAGAGACUGGUCAUUACCAAGAUAGGUGACUGCUUGGGAAUACGAGCUGCUGUAAG